ACUCCUACGGGAGGCAGCAGUGAGGAAUAUUGGUCAAUGGUCGCAAGACUGAACCAGCCAUGCCGCGUGCAGGAAGACGGUCCUAUGGAUUGUAAACUGCUUUUAUACAGGAAGAAACCCUCCCACGUGUGGGAGCUUGACGGUACUGUAGGAAUAAGGAUCGGCUAACUCCGUGCCAGCAGCCGCGGUAAUACGGAGGAUCCAAGCGUUAUCCGGAAUCAUUGGGGUUUAAAGGGUCCGUAGGCGGCCUUAUAAGUCAGUGGUGAAAGCCCAUCGCUCAACGAUGGAACUACCAUUGAUACUGUAAGGCUUGAAUUAUUGUGAAGUAACUAGAAUAUGUAGUGUAGCGGUGAAAUGCUUAGAUAUUACAUGGAAUACCAAUUGCGAAGGCAGGUUACUAACAAUGGAUUGACGCUGAUGGACGAAAGCGUGGGGAGCGAACAGGAUUAGAUACCCUGGUAGGAUAGCG
rnacentral:rRNA from 1 species